rnacentral:lncRNA from 1 species
GAGGCACUGCUGUCAGGAUGGCUUCCAUUUUAGCCAAAGUGAAAAACCUUUUUAUACCAAUUUUUACAUUUUUAUAUGCUGUUUCGUAGAGCCUUAAGGAAGACAAUUUCAUCUUUUUAGUCUUCAUGUUCCUCCUCAUGCCGACAAGGGGUCCCCCCGCCACUACCUCCAACCCUGGGCCACACGGCAGGUGGUGAGCAGCUGGCAAGUGAGCAAAGCUUCAUCUGUCUUUACGGCCACUUCCCAUUGCUCGCAUGACCACCUGAGCUCCACCUCCUGUCAGAUCAGACAGGAGCGUUGGAUUCUCACAGGAGUGAGAACCUUACUGUGAACUGUGCAUGUGAGGGAUCUGGGGUGUGUGCUCCUUAUGAGAAUCUAAUGCCUGAUGAUCUGUCACUGUCUCCCAUCACCCAGAUGGGACCAUCUAGUUGUAGAAAACAAACUCAGGGAUCCCACUGAUUCUACCUUAUGGUAAGUGUAUAAUUAUUUCAUUAUAUAUUACAAUGUAAUCAUAAUAGAAAUAAAGUGCGCAACAAACAUCAUGUGCUUGAAUCAUCCUGAAACCACCCGCCGACCCCCCUUCCAUGGAAAAAGUGUCUUCCAUGAAACCGGUCCCUGGUGCCAAAAAAGUGGGGGACUGCUGUCUUACGACAUCAUAGAUUCAUGGAAUUCUUUUAUAGGCAGGUUCCUUGGGGGUAACUGAAGCUGUUUCCUCGUUUUUAGGAAAU